GGGAGUGGAUGGGUCCUGGUGGGCCUCCUGGACUUCAAAUCCAGUGACGGGCAGUGGCCCUGUCCGUGGUGGGUUCGAUUCCCACAUACUCCCGCCA
rnacentral:tRNA from 1 species